rnacentral:tRNA from 1 species
GGAAAUUUUUUUGGACAUUUAUAACAAAGGUCAUCGGCCUUUUGAUGUAAUAAAUUAUAUUUUCAAAUCACUGAAAAAA